UAAACCCUUGAAUAAAUCUACGGUAUUUUCUAUCCGAUCCCCUAGCUCGUAACAAUAUUAUACCUCAUUAGUUGAAGUUGCCUCUUAAAUAGGGAAUAUUUAAAGUGGAAGACUCCACAAAUGACUGACAUUUCAGUAUGCUAUGAUGCUCAUAUGAGCUGUAACUGUGCAAUUGAUUAAUUACUUAAACCAUCCACAAACAAGAAUAUUGCUGGAUAUUUAAGAGUGGGUGCUAUACUGAUUGAGCCUACAAGUAUAUGUAAGAAGUGUACAUCUCCAAAAUCACCACAGGCACACCACUGCUCAGUUUGGAAGAGUUGUAUACUUUAUAUGGAUCAUCAUUAGAUGAUUUAAUAACUGUGUUGGAUAUUAUACUGCCAGAUUUUGUUUCUUAUACAUGGUGACUGGGAUUUUCUUUUCUGAUUAUAUUUGGGAUAGACAUUGGCUUUGGGUGUAUGAUGGAGGUGAAUUUAGUUAAAAAAAAUAAUUUGAAUAGUAUUCGGAAAAAUUAUCAAAAAGAUAAAUAUUAUGAAAAAUUAGUGAAUUUCUUAAUAAUAUAGUUCUGACAAGCUAAGAAAUGCAUUGCAAGCAAUGCAGAGAUGCUGCUACACUUGCUAUAUUUAAUUAAAUAGUUAAUAUGUUUAACAUCAAUAGGUUAUAUAUAUACUAAUAUACAUUUAUAGAUUUUCAUGACUUUCUGUAAAUAACUGGUUUUAAUACUGUCAUAGUUAGUAUGAAAAUAUCUGUAAGGAAAUGUGAGUCAAGGUUAACAAUUGGACAGAGGCAUCUUUUCCAUCAGUCUUAUAAGCUUCAAAAUUCACUAGAUGCUACACCAGUCAAAGAUGAAUCUGAUUUGAUUCAACAUCCAUUUAAAUCAAAUAAAAGAGAAGUUCUCAUUCCUGUGAAAGAUAUUCCUAUUAAGAUUCCAUCAGCUAUCCUCGUGAACCAAUUCUACCCACAACAGACAUAACACUUAGAUCUCAUAGUAGCUGAUCCCUGGAAGAGAAAAGCUGUAAUAGUUAUGGCUAUCACCUGUCUUUCUGUAUUCUUUGUACUCGGAACUCUGGUUAUUAUGCAUUGCAAAAACAUAAAUAGAGGGGAAACUAGUGUGAAGUUACAUAAAUGCAGCAAUGACCCCUUCAUUUAGGAAUCCAUACAACUUUGGUAGAAGAAAAACCUGGAUGGUUUUCCUUGUUACACAAGGUUGGACAUAUUUUUUCAUGUGUUAUUACCACCUAAGCACACUCCAAAAAUAGCCAUACAUGGCAUAUAGUUAAUGCUGACUUAGAAGACUGGCCCAAAUAGAAUUAUAUGAUUUAAACUUAAGUUUAAAAUGACAACCUUUCAUCAAGCUUUUUAAUAAUUUAUUAAGUUUAAGUAAAUAAAUGAUUAUUAUUACAAUGAAACUUAGAAAUUAUUCUUAUCAAUAUAACUGUUCAAUAAAUAUUUA